GUGGGGAAUAUUGGACAAUGGGCGAAAGCCUGAUCCAGCCAUGCCGCGUGUGUGAAGAAGGUCUUCGGAUUGUAAAGCACUUUAAGUUGGGAGGAAGGGCAGUAAGUUAAUACCUUGCUGUUUUGACGUUACCGACAGAAUAAGCACCGGCUAACUUCGUGCCAGCAGCCGCGGUAAUACGAAGGGUGCAAGCGUUAAUCGGAAUUACUGGGCGUAAAGCGCGCGUAGGUGGCUUUGUAAGUUGGAGGUGAAAUCCCCGGGCUCAACCUGGGAACUGCCUCCAAAACUGCAUGACUAGAGUACGGUAGAGGGUAGUGGAAUUUCCUGUGUAGCGGUGAAAUGCGUAGAUAUAGGAAGGAACACCAGUGGCGAAGGCGACUACCUGGACUGAUACUGACACUGAGGUGCGAAAGCGUGGGGAGCAAACAGGAUUAGAUACCCGAGUAGUCC
rnacentral:rRNA from 1 species